AGCGAACGUUUGCGGCGGGCUUAACACAUGCAAGUCGAACGAGAAUCCCUUCGGGGAGGAAAGUGGCGCACGGGUGCGUAACACGUGGAUAACCAACCCAUUGGUUUGGGACAACACCGGGAAACUGGUGCUAAUACCAGAUGUGUCGCAGCUGUCUUCAGGCGGUUGCGAGAAAGGCCCGCAAGGGUCGCCAACGGACGGGUCCGCGUCCCAUCAGCUAGUUGGUGAGGUAAUGGCUCACCAAGGCAAAGACGGGUAGCUGGUCUGAGAGGAUGAUCAGCCACACUGGAACUGAGACACGGUCCAGACUCCUACGGGAGGCAGCAGUGGGGAAUAUUGCGCAAUGGGCGAAAGCCUGACGCAGCCACGCCGCGUGAGCGAUGAAGGUCUUCGGAUCGUAAAGCUCUGUGGGGGGAGAAGAAGAAAGCCGGUGAAGAGCCGGCCCUGACGGUAUCCCCUUAGCAAGCACCGGCUAACUCCGUGCCAGCAGCCGCGGUAAAGUCG
rnacentral:rRNA from 1 species